rnacentral:rRNA from 1 species
AUGAAAUUUUCAUAUACGGCUCUUAGAGGGGGACUCGGGUUAGUUACCUAUCUCAAUAAAGUAUAUGAUUGGUUUGAGGAACGUCUUGAGAUUCAGGCAAUUGCAGAUGAUAUAACUAGUAAAUAUGUUCCUCCCCAUGUCAACAUAUUUUAUUGUUUAGGGGGAAUUACACUUACUUGUUUUCUAGUACAAGUCGCUACCAGUUUUGCUAUGACUUUUUACUACCGACCAACCAUUACAGAGGCUUUUUCCUCGGUUCAAUACAUAAUGACUGAGGCCAACUUUGGUUGGUUAAUCCGAUCAGUUCAUCGAUGGUCAGCAAGUAUGAUGGUUUUAAUGAUGAUCAUGCAUGUAUUUCGUGUGUAUCUCACAGGGGUAUUUAAAAAACCCCGUGAAUUAACUUGGGUCACAGGUGUGGUUUUGGCUAUUUUGACUACAUCAUUUGGUGUAAUUGGUUAUUCUUUGCAUUGGGAUCAAAUUGGCUAUUGGGCAGUCAAAAUUGUGAUAGGUGUACCUGACGCCAUUUCGGUAAUAGGAUCGCCUUAG